UACAGAGGGUGCGAGCGUUAAUCGGAAUUACUGGGCGUAAAGCGCACGUAGGCGGAUUGUUAAGUCGGGGGUGAAAUCCUGGAGCUCAACUCCAGAACUGCCUUCGAAACUGGCGAUCUUGAGUCCGGGAGAGGUGAGUGGAACUGCGAGUGUAGAGGUGAAAUUCGUAGAUAUUCGCAAGAACACCAGUGGCGAAGGCGGCUCACUGGCCCGGUACUGACGCUGAGGUGCGAAAGCGUGGGGAGCAAACAGG
rnacentral:rRNA from 1 species